rnacentral:lncRNA from 1 species
UAUAUGGAGGUAGGAAUAUACAUAUAAUGCUUACAGGAUCCUCUUCCCUGGACGAUGUGGGAUGUUACAUUAAUAGUCUCACAGUAUUCAAUUAAUGCUUGAUCCCCCAUUAAUGCUGUUUGAGUUUUCAAGCAUGUGCACACCCGUGUACGUUUUGGUUAUAUUAGCAUAACGAUUCGUGAAAUCUAAGGUAGGUGGGAAUUGAGAUGUAUAAAUCAGGCAAAGGAUUACGGAGGCGCCUUCAAUUUAUUUUAAAUAAUUACAUGUUAAUUGAGACACUAAUUACCAACAAUUUGAAGACACUAUUUACUAAAUGGUACUUGUGUAGAGCCUCAUGUAUUACAAGAAAAACGAGGUAGAAGGUAGAUGAAGAAUUGAAACAUGGUCCGCCAACAAGAUUAAUUAAGUGGGUACUGAUCGUUAUUUUUGUUAGAUCAAGGUUUAGGUUUGAGUCUCGCAAUUUCUUUUAGUGAGCGAUCUAUAAAAACUUAAAAAAAGGGCUAAAACUCAUCUGUAAGUCCUUAAAUAAGUAUAUGGUAUGUCUGAUCCUGAAUGUGGUAGCAUAAAUCAAAGUUGGACAAGAAUUAUGAGUCCAUCUUUUUAACUCUCUCAUAUUUUCCUCUUCACGCUUGCCCACUUCUCUCUCAUCUAUCCUUUUUCCUUUUUCCUCUUUCACCUUUCUCAACCUCUCUUUCUCUCCCUCUAUAUAAAUCUCAGGUUAUUUUUCAUGAAUUUUAAUUCAUGAACAACACUUAGGGGGUGUAACAUCCCACAUCGCCCAUAAGAGUGGAUCUUGUAAGCCUUAUAUGUAUAUUCUCAUCUCUACCUAGCACGAGGCAUUUUGGGAGCUCACUGG